ACCAAGGAGUCUAGCAUAUACGCAAGUUAUUGGGUAGUAAACCUAAUUCAAAAGAAAAAGAAAAAAAAGCAUAAUGAAAGUAAAGAUUAUCUUUAGUAUAAUUGAUAUGUGAUCUAUAUAUAUAUAUAUAUAUAGCGUAACAUAACCCCGUUCAUGUUGCAUGCAAUAGGGCGGAGGUAGAGCGUAUAUGCUGGGACCCGAAAGAUGGUGAACUAUACCUGAGCAGGAUGAAGCCAGAGG
rnacentral:ncRNA from 1 species